UUCUCCUAGAUUGAUCUCAUUUCUAAUCAAAAGAUAGCUUAGAACCAACUAGGAAGCUUUCUAAUACCAUUAUUAAGCCUUUCCAAACAUCCCUAGGGCACCUACUUUGAACCCUAGCCAUCCACCAUUAGAGCACAUGAAGCUCACAUGGAUUUCAUGGUGUUCAUGGCCCAACAAUGCUUCUAAACAAGAGAGAAGCUCCAAACCUUAAGUUCUAUGGUGGAAAUCCAAACCCUAGAGUUCUAUUUGCAAGAGAACUCACCUUUGACCAAGCUCCUCCAAGAUCCUUCUUGUAGGAGAGCUUCUAGCACCUUCACAACCUCUAAAACCACCUUCUCCUAGCUUCUUCUCCUUCUCCUCCAAGCCCUAGGUCAAGCUCCUUUAGAGAGAGAAAGAGGAAAAUGAGAGGAAGAGUGUUUGGAGGUGUUUGCUAUGAAGGAGGAGGGUUUGGGGGUAUUUAUGACAUGUUACAAUUGCAACUAGGCCCUCCAAAAAUUCUUAUUUGCAACAGACCUCGUAGGUGCUGCCAGACCAAAGUGUACCGGUACACUUUGGGCUGUCACCUGUUACACGAUCGCGUAUGACAAAACCCGAGAGCAGAUUUCUCGGUUCGCAGGAUUUGUACCGGUACACUUUCAGCCAGACACAACACGAGAGCUCUUCUUCUCGGUCUGCGUAUCUGUACCGGUGACAACUCGAUGGUUGUACCGGUACACUUUGCCCAGACCUGGUUUUUGGCUUCGACUCGACUCCACUUCGCGUCGGCCGAUGCUAAAACCCUUCUAACUCUUUCUAAACUCACUUUUAGCCCUUCCAACAUUAUUGGAAUGUUAAAUGGAACUUGUUCCAUCGAUUUCUCUCGGUACUUUAACCUAAUUCGGGUAAAGUUCGAUAUUCACUUUCGGGUUUCAAUAUGUUAUAUUCUCCACCCCUUGAAUUUAGUUUCAUCCGCGAAACUACCUUUUUGAAAUUGAGAUUCAUACCUCAAUCCAGUUCCGCAAAGAGAUGAGGAUGACGCUCUCUCAUCACGUCCUCAAGCUCCUAUGUGUUUUCCUGAUCGUCGUGUUCACACCAAUGAACUUUAACAUACGGAAUUUCUCGAUUCUGUAGUUUCUUCACCUCUCGAUCAACGAUGAAAGCCGGAAACUUUUCAUAGGUCAUAUCCUCUUGAAGCUUGGUCGGCACAUACUCGAGAAUGUGCUCCGGAUCAUGAACAUACUUGCGGAGAUUGGAUACGUGGAACACGUCGUGCACUCCCGCAAGCCUCGGUGGUAAUGCCACUUUGUAAGCCACCGCACCGACCCGCUCCAAGAUCUCAAAUGGUCCGACAAAUCGGGGACUUAGCUUUUCCUGAACACCGAAUCUCUUAACACCGCGCAUCAGCGAUACCUUUAGAAAUACGCGGUCUUCAACCGCGAACUCGAUGUCUUUCCUUCGCUUGUUAGCAUAAUUUUUGUGCCUCGAUUGCGCCGUCGCUAAUCUUUGUCGGGCGAGGCGAACUUUCUCCUCCGCCUCCCGAACAACAUUGGGGCCAAGAGCAACUCUCUCAUCCACAUCGCUCCAAUGAAUCGGCGAGCGACAUUUCUUUCCAUAAAGGGCCUUGAAUGGCGCCAUCAUAAUACUUUCUUGAUAGCUAUUAUUGUAUGCGAAUUCCGCCAUCGGCAAAUGAUCGUGCCAUCCGCCCUUAUAGUCGAGUACACACGCUCGAAGCAUGUCCUCAAGUAUUUGAAUAGUCCUCUCCGAUUGACUGUCACUUUAAGGAUGAAAUGUCGUGCUAAAGUCGAGCCGUGUGCCUAAUGCGUCUUGCAAGCUCUUUCAAAAAUGAGAUGUGAACUGAGGGUCUCGAUCCAAUACAAUAGACAUCGGAACCCCGUGUAGUCUCACAAUCUCGUCGAGAUAAAUUUGAGCUAGCUUGUCUCCCGACCAAGUAGUGUGGAUCGGCAAAAAGUGUGCCGAUUUUGUCAACCGGUCCACCACUACCCAAAUCGCAUCAUGUCCGCCUUGAGAUCUAGGCAAACCCAUCACAAAGUCCAUUGCUAUGUUUUCCCAUUUCCACACGGGUAUCGGUAGACUUUGCAACUUUCCUGCCGGAAAUCGCCGUUCCACUUUGACUUGUUGGCACGUGAGACAUUGUGCCACGAACUCCCCGAUAUCCUUUUUCAUGCCCGGUCACCAAUUAUGUAACUUCAAGUCUUGAUACAUUUUAGUGUCGCCCGGGUGUACGCUAUAGGGAGAUUGAUGCGCUUCUUGCAUAACCGCCCUCCGAAGAUCAUCGUCCUUAGGCACUCACCAACGAUUCCGAAAUCGAAGUGCGCCAUCGGUCCCAAUGCCAAAAUCAUCGGCACUACCGCUCUCAACUUUACCCCGCACCUUUUGGAGAAAUGAAUCGAAAACUUGCAAUUCUGUAAUUCUCUCCAAUAUGGUUGGUUACACUAUCAACGUGGCUAGUGUUGCCGGCACUCCCGGUGCCACAACCUCAAGGCCAAACCGCUGCAUCCUUUUUUGCAAAGCCGGUUGAGGUGUAAUUGCCGUCGCCAAAUUUUUCGCCGACUUUCUACUUAGAGCAUCAGCCACGACAUUCGCCUUUUCGGGGUGGUAGAGAAUCAUGACGUCAUAGUCCUUUAACAGCUCCAACUACUGCCGCUGUCGCAAAUUUAAUUCCUUCUGGGUGAACAAGUAUUUGAGACUCUUAUGAUCGGUGUAGAUCUCACAAUGCUCACCAUACAAGUAAUGCCUCUAUAAUUUUAGCGCGAAGAUAACCGCCGCUAGCUUGAGGUCGUGAGUCUGGUAGUUCUUCUUAUAGCUCUUCAGCUGGCGCGAAGCAUAUGCUAUAACUCGGCCAUUUUGCAUCAAAACACACCCGAGACCGAUAUACGAGGCAUCACUAUACACUACAUAGCUCUCCCCCGGCGUCGGUAAGGCAAGCACCGGGGUCGAUGUCAAUCUUUCCUUUAACUCCUCGAAGCUCCUCUCACAUUCGGCGCUCCAAAUAUACUUUGCCCCUUUGUGUGUAAGGCGCGUUAGUGGAGUAGUUAUCUUGGCAAACCCUUCCAUGAACCGCCGAUAGUAGCCCGCAAGUUCGAGAAAGCUACGGAUCUCCGCUACACUUGUCGGGCGAGGCCAAUCUUUAAUAGCCUCCACUUUCUUUGGGUCCACCGAGAUGCCAUCACUGGAUAUAACGUGACCCAAGAAGAUAAUCUCCGAAAGCCAAAAUUUGCACUUUUUUAAUUUUGCAUAUAGCUUCUAUUUUCGGAGUGUCUCCAACACGAUCCUCAAGUGCUCCUCGUGUUCUUUCUCGGUCCGAGAAUAUACCAAUACGUCGUCAAUGAAGAUCAUGACGCACCGGUCCAAUAGCGGACGAAAGACUCGAUUCAUUAAGUCCAUAAAAGGUGUCGAGGCAUUAGUAAGCUCGAAUGGCAUAACCGUGAACUCAUAAUAGCCAUACCGCGUAUGGUACGCCGUUUUGUGCACAUUCUUGGGCCGUAUCUUCAAUUGAUGAUAACCCGAUUGAAGGUCGAUCUUUGAAUAUACCCUUGACCCUGCAACUGAUCGAAUAAGUCAUCAAUCCUCGACAACGGGUACUUGUUCUUGAUCGUCACCUUGUUCAACUCGCAAUAAUCAACGCAAAGUCGAAGUGUGCCGUCUUUUUUCUUCACAAAUAGCACCGGAGCUCCCCACGGAGGCACGCUCGAUCGUACAAAACUCUACCUGUGCCAUUCUAUACGGAGCCUUCGAAAUUGGCACCGCCCUGGGAAUUAAGUCAAUGACAAACUCGACUUUCCGGUCCGGUGGCAAUCCCGGUAAUUCCGCCGGAAACACAUCCGGAUACUUGCAUACAACCCGAAUAUUCCCCAAAUUCGGGUACUCCUUUUGAGAGUCUACGAUGGUCGCCAAAUAGGCCUUACAACUACCCUUUAUCAUUUUCCUCGCCCUCGCCGUCGAUAUGGUCGCCGCAAAGCGCACACCUUUACACACCCGGUAUACUAACUCUUCUUGAUUAGGCUCAUGGAAUGUGAUCAUCUUACUUUCGCAAUCAAUGACCGCGUAAUACUUGGAGAGCCAAUUGAUCCCCAAGAUUCCAUCAAAGCCCUACAUUUGCUUCAACACUAAUAGGUCGAUCGGCAUGAUCCAAUCACCUAUCUAUAUUGGACACUCUCGACACUCGUCAUAUACACGGAACGAAUGCCCUGGUGUAUUCACUGUCCAAUAGUCCUCGACAUUUGUGACCUCUAUGUCAUGAGCUAGUACAAAUGAUGCUGAUAUGCAUGAAUGCGAUGCACCUGUGUAAAAUAACACUCUAGUUCUAAUGCCUCGGAUCAAGAUAAUACCUGCCACGACAUCGUCGGGAACUGCAACCGGCUGCUCCUCCACCUGAGUGGCAAAAACCCGCCCACUAGGUGCCCGAGAGGCCUCCGGCUGUCGAGGCGCUGAUAAUCGUCCAGCCGACACUGCGGAUGGCAGUCUUGCCAGCUAUCGCGGAGUGUACUGGACUAAAGUUGCUGAAGGCACUGGGGAUGCGCCGCCCGGACACUCCCAACUCAUGUGUCCUGCUUGGCCGCAGUGAUAACACUUCCCUUCGCGCUGGGAGCACUCACUCGGCCUAUGACUCCCGUCGCAAAUGAUACACGGGAAGGUGGUCGUCUGGCUCCUCGACUGACUCCUACCUCUCCGCCACUGUGAUCGCUAAGGUCGCGGGGGUCGCUUGAAGCCCGACUGCCCUGCAGAUCCGCUAGUUGCCCGCUUUUUGGACUUAUCUUUUUCCUCGUCCUUCUCGAAAGCCUCGCGCUCAUCUUGCGCAAUGGCAUUGCCACGCUCCACCCAAAGCGCGCGAUCAAGCACUUCCUCGUAGGUCUUCAACCUAAAGGCAUGAAUGACCUUGAAGAUUCGGGUCGCAACCCGCGCUCGAAUGCCUCCGCUCGGUCCCUAUCGCCAUGGAACAAGCCCGACACGCAGUUGAUCAUGUGCGUGAACUCUUUCUCGUACUCCCGCACCGAUCGGCUACCUUGUCUCAACUUGCGAAAGUCUUCUUUGAUCUUCCGCUUGUCGCUUUCGGGAAAGUACUCCAGCAAGAGCAUCUCCCAAAAUAUCUCCCAAGUGAUGGAAGCGAGAUCCAACGAGCGACCUUUCCUUGCUUGGUUCCACCACAACCUCACCGACCCCUCGAAGCAAUGGGCCGCAAGGUGAACUUUAUCCUUCUCAAGGGUGUAGAUGUCCUUGAACAAUGCCUCCAUCACGGCUAACCAUGACUCCACCGACCAUAGAUCCUUCACGUCACCGUUGAAGGUUGGAGGGUUGAACCGCUUGAAUGUCGUCAACACUGCUAGUGACCGCUCCUGCUUGGCCUCAAGUACAUCGGGUAGAGGAGCCGAUGAACCCGAUGCCAUCUGAGGAAUAGCCGUCACCGCUACUACUGCUGUCGCUGGAGGUGGUGCAACUAGGGCAACAGGUACAGGCGGAUCCCUCGGCACAGAUGCCGCAACCUGUCGCGACACCAACUCGUGAGUUGUCCUAUCUGCCCCCCCUGCUGCCGCAUAGCCCCAGCCAAAGCCGCCACUUGGGCUCGCAGCGCACGAACCUCAUCUGAUCGAGACUGCUCGGGCUGCGCAAGAGGUGGUGCCGGUGUGGAUCGCGUCCUAGGGCGUCCCCUUUGUGCCAUCACGUCCUGAAAUGUAGCACACAUAUUAGUACUCGAUACACGUGACUCUUACACGUUCCAAAUAGCUAUCCAAUUAAGCGAAAGCAAUCGAGCAUAAUUAUUUUCCAACUCUCAGUGUCACGUGGUCGGCCGGCCCACACAAUCCCCUUAAGUAGAAAACAAAUUAAUACUUGAAUUCAUCUCUAAUUCCUUCUAGAGAAGUACUAUCUUUAACCCAAUCAACUAGCUUUCGCGUAUCCAAGUCUACGUUAAACGUUUCCUAAGUCCCUAAGGUCUCCAAGCCUAAGGUCCCUAAGUCCUUCCUAGACUUUUACUUUCACCAUUGCUCUGAUACAAUUAUAUCUGUCACGCCCCGAUCCCUGCCAAUUUGGUUGGGUUCGGCCAUGUCAACAGACGCCGAACGGACAGAACCUCCCCUGUCCGCCCAAGGCUCUAGCAACAAGUAUAAUAAAGCAAUCAACAAAAAGAUUUGCAAUUAUACAAGGCUUGCACGAGGGCAAGCAACAACGGAAGCGAAAGCUCUAAGCUAUAGCAUACAACCAUACAUGAUAUUUGAUUAAAUUUAAACAAAAUACAAGUGAACUAAGCUAUUACAUCCAUUUUGGUUUUAUUCAUAAAGUCUUUUACAUCUUAAUCAUUUACCAAAAUACAUGAUUGUUCUCAACUCAUACAUCUAUAGAUCAACAAAAUAAAAGUUGAUACAUGUAUACAAAACGGGAAUGACUAAAAUGUAAAUGCUCCGGUGGCCUCUAGCUAAGGCGCAAUACCCUUGCCUCGAUCCUCCGCCGCCCCGCUCGCGUUAGGAUCUGCAGGGUUAGUGGUGUGAGAACUAAACAAAGUUCCCAGUGGGUUCGGCAACCGACUUCGCCGACUUACCCACUAGGUCUAUGUAGGCAUUAGUAUUUCAAGAAAGAGAUAAGCAACCAUUAAUAAUGCUAAUACUAUGCCUGCAAGAAAACUGUCAGUGGAUAUAUAAUCAAAGCGAUAUUAAAGAUACAUGCAUGCUUUAUCCAUACUUUACUUUGGCUUUCUUUACCCAAUCUUACCGGUUAACCUUGUUAACCCCAAUAGCUCACAACUCCUAUCCCGUCUACCGGGGGAGGCUUUAAGCACAAUCGCCCGAGGGAUCGUCGACGGGGCACUCUCCCCGUGGUGUCUACACUCUGGAGUACACCACUUAAGGAGAAGCUACUUCUCUCAAGCCAAGUCCUAAUGUGAGUAUUGAUCCAAUUCCCAACUUGGGAAUACAUAGCCUGUCACACCCCGGAGCCGAUGCCAAUUUGGCCCGACCCGAGCACGUCAAACAGACGCCGAACGGACAGAGUUUCCCCUGUCCGCCCAAGGCUCAUCACAUGUACAAUUUUAAACAAGAAGUGCACUAGCGGAAACAUACAAAUACGGCUUACACGAGGGUAAGCAAUAGCCACGAGUGAGAGAAAGGAAACUAAACAUUCACUUGUACUAUGAUUUACUUUAGAUCACAUACAUUGUAUCUAUCCAACAUUUAUAAUUCUUGCAUUUCAUUAAAUUACAUUGCUUGCAUCAUUUCUUUUUACAUCACAUCUACCUCAAAAUAAGCUUUACAUUCUUUUCUUUACUUUAUACAUUAACAUCUUAAAUCAUCAAAUACAAAAGAUGAUAAAAGGGGUAAACUACUAACAAAAUGUAACCCAACUCCGGUGGCCUCUGACUACGGUGCGAUACCUUUACCGCGGUCGCUCGCCGGCUCGCUCGGUCCCGGCUCUGUGGAAUAGUGGGAUGAGAACUACAACAAAGUUUCCAGUGGGUUCGGCCCCAACAUCACCGACUUUCCCACUAGGACUAACUCAGGCAUAAUAGAAAGGAUAAGCUGAAAUAUAGUAACCAAUCUACAACAUGAUGCUAAUAUGCCUGAACAAUAAGCAAGGAAUAUGCUCAACAUUAACAUAUGCAGAUUAUGCAAGUUCUUUCGUUCUUUAUCUUUACACUUUGUUCUUUGUUCUUUGCUCUUUGUUCUUUAUUCUUUAUUCUUUAAUCUCAAGGCUAACCCGGGGGUUUCGCCACAUUAAACUUGCUUCACAUUAAGUCCAUCAUCGCAGGAACUCACCAGCUAGGACCGUUCUUCGGGUUUACUCCAACCCGUGAUGCGCAUAACUCCGGAGCGCAUCAGGCCCUGAGGCGGAGGACCCGCCCUCGAGACGGACUCAAGCAAGUAUUGAUCAUUAUCUUAAUCAAAGCAUUAUAAGUUCAAUCUUGACUUUACCUUAGCUUAGUGUCCUUUACAUCACCUUUAUGUUGCAAAUCAUGCCAAUCACAUUCUUUACAUUUCCUUACUUUUGCACUCUAGCUAUUCUUGUUCUGUUAAAUUCUUUGUUUCGUUAUUGCCCCACUUUACUUUAACCUUACACAUGUCCAUUUUCGAUCAUUCUUACAUCACUUAUGGUUCUUUGCAUCACACUAACUCUAGUGUUCUUUACUUUACAUUUGCAAAUGCCACUCGAUCUAUGUCAUAGUGUCACUCUGUUCUUUUGCUCACUUUGGGUGCUCACUUUUCUCUCAUGCAUACACAUAGGGUUUUACAUUCAUAAGGUUCUCAACCAUCACAUUAGGCAAGUUGUACUCACAAUCAUGCAAUAUCACAUUUCUAUCAUCACUUUACUCUAAAAUGUAUGCAACAAUGUAUAUACAAAUGCUCAAUUGAAUGACACAUUAGGCAUAGAGAGAAGUUCAACGAGUUUGGAAAGCACCACCCACCUCGUAGGUCUAUUUAGGUGCUCCAAUGAUUUUCUUGAGAUUUAUAGGCUCCUCGUUCUUCACCUGCGGCAAAACGAAGCCAACUUAGGCCAUUUUGCCUAUAUCUUUACAUCGGCUUUUCGUAACGUUAAUUCGAGCGCACCAACGCGUCGGAAAUGCCCCCAAUUAGGUUUCUAGAGGGCCAAUUGCACUUAGAAAUCCUUAUGAGCAAAAGUCCCAAUUUGGGUGCCCUAGCUUCAAAGCAUCAUCUAACCUAGGCUUUGAUCUCAUUGGGAAGCAAAAGUAGCUUCAUUAUACUCUAGAAAGUCCAUUAGAACCAUCUUUAGACAAAUCAAAACCCUACUUAGGGUUUCACCAUGAGAGGUGGUGGAGCUCACCUUCAAGCUUCACCAUUUCCAUGGCCAUGAUCUCAAAAGAAGCAAAAGAAAAGCUUCCAAUACUCCAAAAGCUCCAUAAAAACCAUUUCUAGGUUUACCCAAACCUUAGUUUGGGAGUUAACAUGAAAAAGGGCAAAGCUUACCUCUAAGCUUGCUCCUUUCUUGCACUAGAGAGAAAGAAGAUGGAGUUGCUUCACUCCAAUGGCUUCUUCUCCACUUUCUUCUUCUUCUUUUCCUUUCUUUCCUUGUCUUCUUCUUCUGCUCCUUUGGCUUCUAGAGAGAGAGAGGGAGAGAAGAGAGUGUGAGAGAAUGAGAAUGAGAGAAAUGUCUCAUUUGUCCCCUUACUAUACUGUAUGGGUUGCAAAAUUGCAGCUAAACCCCUCAACAUUCACUCUUUCACACUGUCUGGACUGGGCUGUUCACGUAGGCGGGGACCGGUCUCUCCAUCAGGGACCGGUUCCCGAAGGUCGUCCCAGCGCAGCCAGAGCUGCUGCGGGCGAUGCAUCCGGUCUCUCCUUGGGGGACCGGUCUCUCAGGCAGGGACCGGUUCUCGAGAGCUGGUUUCUCAGGACUUAGCCGAUUUUUCGGCUGUCUCAAUUCACACGCGUUCAGGGACCGGUCUCUCCCACCAGGGCCCGGUCCCCGAGAGCUCAAAACUGCAGAAUGCCGAUUUUGAUUCUAUAGCUUCGAAAACCUCCCGUAACUCACUUUUAAUCAUUUUAACACCUUCGGACUUUCCAAAUUGUACCGUCUUCGCACUUUGGUCAAUUUGACUAAAGUUCGACAUUUUUAUUUUCCGAAUUUUCGGUAUAUUACAUAGCCACUAGUCACAAUGUCACUAUUGUUUAAACUAGGUUUAAUAAUGUGUAUCUCAAUGCCAAUCAAGUCACUAUGUCAACGUCACCUUUGUUUACUAUAGUCAUAGUCUUUUUCCCACAUUCACAUGCACAUAGGGUUUUCACAUACAAGUUCUCUCGUUUCUUUAUCAUUCACAUACUCUUUUAUGCAUCUAUAUGCAAUUCAACUAAGCACAAUAAUAAGCUACCCUAUAUGCAAGAAUGCAACAAUUUAAAAUGCUCAAGGGAUAUAGACAUAGGAGGGAAUCCAACGAUUCCGGAAUGCACCCCCCACCUCGAAUGAUCAUAAAAGGGUUGAAGUUCGACUCUCGGAAUUUUUAGAACGUCUCUCCCGCGACCUAUACCCAAAAUAGUGCUGAAUUAGACCCUAUAUGCAAGAUCUCAUAUCUAGACUUUUUAUUUCGACGAACGGAGUUGUCCCACGCGUCGGGAAUACCCCUAAUUAGGUUUCCAAGAGGCAAUUUACCUCGAAAACGAUCCAAAAGCCCCAAAAUUCAUGCCCUAACAAUGUCAUAAUGAGAUUUCUCCUAGAUUGAUCUCAUUCAUAAGCAAAAGAUAGCUUAGAACCAACUAGGAAACUUUCUAAUACCAUUAUUAAGCCUUUCCAAACACCCUUAGGGCAUCUACUUUGAACCCUAGCCAUCCACCAUUAGAGCACAUGAAGCUCACAUGGAUUUCAUGGUGUUCAUGGCCCAAUAAUGCUUCUAAACAAGAGAGAAGCUCCAAACCUUAAGUUCUAUGGUGGAAAUCCAAACCCUAGAGUUCUACUUGCAAGAGAACUCACCUUUGACCAAGCUCUCCAAGAUCUUUCUUGUAGGAGAGCUUCUAGCACCUUCAAACCUCCAAAACCACAUUCUCCUAGCUUCUUCUCCUUCUCCUCCAAGCCUUAGGUCAAGCUCCUUUAGAGAGAGAAAGAGGAAAAUGAGAGGGAGAGUGUUUGGGGGUGUUUGCUGUGAAGGGGGAGGGUUUGGGGGUAUUUAUGUCAUGUUACAAUUGCAACUAGGGCCCCCAAAAAUCUCUAUUUGCAACAGACCUCGUAGGUGCUGCCAGACCAAAGUGUACCGGUACACUUUGGGCUGUCACCUGUUACACGAUCGCGUAUGACAAAACCCGAGAGCAGAUUUCUCGGUUCGCAGGAUUUGUACCGGUACACUUUCAAUUUGUACCGGUAUACUUUCAGCCAGACACAAACCCGAGAGCUCUUCCUCUCGUUCUGCGUAUCUGUACCGGUGACAACUCGAUGGUUGUACCGGUACACUUUGUCUAGACCUGGUUUUUGGCUUCGACUCGACUCC
rnacentral:lncRNA from 1 species